rnacentral:rRNA from 1 species
AUGCUGGUACUGCUCGCCGCCGUAGCCGUGCUUCUUCACGACGCCGUAGCUGUCGUGGUGGAGGGCGGCGGCGGCGCUCCCAUGCUCGUACGCCUUGUGCUCGCCGUAGCCGGGCUUCUGGACCGUGCAGUCGUACGCCUUCUGCUCGCCAUAGCCGUGCGCCUUCUUGCCGUAGCCAUGCUUCUGGAUCUUGCUGUCCUGGUGGAGAGCGGUGUACCCCUUGAGAUUGCCUUCAUGCUGGUACGCCGUAUGCUCGCCGCCGUAGCCGCUCUUCUGGACCUUGCUGUCCUGGUGGUGACCACCGUACGCCUUCUGCUCGCCAUAGCCAUGCUUCUGCGCCGAGCUGUCAUGGUGGGCCUCGGCCCCAUAAUGCUGGUAAGCCUUCUGCUCACCGUAGCCAUACUUCUGCGUGGCGCCGGUGCUGUCGUGGCUGGCAGCGUCGUAGCCUCCAUGCUGGUACGACGACGCCUUCUGCCCGCCGUAGCCACCGUGCUUCUGCACGGAGCUUUCGUGGUGAAGGGCGCUGUAGCCUCCGGCGCCGCUUUCAUGCUGGUACGACGACGCCUUCUGUUCGCCCUCCGACGUCGCUCCCGUACGCCUGCUGCCCGUAGCAGUGCUUCUGCACUUCGGCAUCCUCGCUGCACAGCUCCGUCAGGGAGGCCGUCUUCUGCACGGCGCCGGCGUCGUUGUACGCCGCCUGCUUCCCGUUGA